UGCAGUCGAGCGGACAGAAGGGAGCUUGCUCCCGGAUGUUAGCGGCGGACGGGUGAGUAACACGUGGGUAACCUGCCUGUAAGACUGGGAUAACUCCGGGAAACCGGAGCUAAUACCGGAUAGUUCCUUGAACCGCAUGGUUCAAGGAUGAAAGACGGUUUCGGCUGUCACUUACAGAUGGACCCGCGGCGCAUUAGCUAGUUGGUGAGGUAACGGCUCACCAAGGCGACGAUGCGUAGCCGACCUGAGAGGGUGAUCGGCCACACUGGGACUGAGACACGGCCCAGACUCCUACGGGAGGCAGCAGUAGGGAAUCUUCCGCAAUGGACGAAAGUCUGACGGAGCAACGCCGCGUGAGUGAUGAAGGUUUUCGGAUCGUAAAGCUCUGUUGUUAGGGAAGAACAAGUGCAAGAGUAACUGCUUGCACCUUGACGGUACCUAACCAGAAAGCCACGGCUAACUACGUGCCAGCAGCCGCGGUAAUACGUAGGUGGCAAGCGUUGUCCGGAAUUAUUGGGCGUAAAGGGCUCGCAGGCGGUUUCUUAAGUCUGAUGUGAAAGCCCCCGGCUCAACCGGGGAGGGUCAUUGGAAACUGGGAAACUUGAGUGCAGAAGAGGAGAGUGGAAUUCCACGUGUAGCGGUGAAAAUGCGUAGAGAUGUGGAGGAACACCAGUGGCGAAGGCGACUCUCUGGUCUGUAACUGACGCUGAGGAGCGAAAGCGUGGGGAGCGAACAGGAUUAGAUACCCUGGUAGUCCACGCCGUAAACGAUGAGUGCUAAGUGUUAGGGGGUUUCCGCCCCUUAGUGCUGCAGCUAACGCAUUAAGCACUCCGCCUGGGGAGUACGGUCGCAAGACUGAAACUCAAAGGAAUUGACGGGGGCCCGCACAAGCGGUGGAGCAUGUGGUUUAAUUCGAAGCAACGCGAAGAACCUUACCAGGUCUUGACAUCCUCUGACAACCCUAGAGAUAGGGCUUUCCCUUCGGGGACAGAGUGACAGGUGGUGCAUGGUUGUCGUCAGCUCGUGUCGUGAGAUGUUGGGUUAAGUCCCGCAACGAGCGCAACCCUUGAUCUUAGUUGCCAGCAUUCAGUUGGGCACUCUAAGGUGACUGCCGGUGACAAACCGGAGGAAGGUGGGGAUGACGUCAAAUCAUCAUGCCCCUUAUGACCUGGGCUACACACGUGCUACAAUGGACAGAACAAAGGGCUGCGAGACCGCAAGGUUUAGCCAAUCCCACAAAUCUGUUCUCAGUUCGGAUCGCAGUCUGCAACUCGACUGCGUGAAGCUGGAAUCGCUAGUAAUCGCGGAUCAGCA
rnacentral:rRNA from 2 species